rnacentral:rRNA from 1 species
CCUACGGGGGGCUGCAGUGAGGAAUAUUGGUCAAUGGGCGCGAGCCUGAACCAGCCAAGUCGCGUGAGGGAAGACGGUCCUAUGGAUUGUAAACCUCUUUUGUCGGGGAGCAAAAGACGCCACGCGUGGCGUUCCGAGAGUACCCGAAGAAAAAGCAUCGGCUAACUCCGUGCCAGCAGCCGCGGUAAUACGGAGGAUGCGAGCGUUAUCCGGAUUUAUUGGGUUUAAAGGGUGCGUAGGCGUGCAUUUAAGCCGGCGGUCAAAUGUCGGGGCUCAACCCCGGCCUGCCGUCGGAACUGGGUGCCUUGAGUGGGCGAGAAGUAUGCGGAAUUCGUGGUGUAGCGGUGAAAUGCUUAGAUAUCACGAAGAACUCCGAUUGCGAAGGCAGCUCACUGGACUGCAACUGACACUGAGGCUCGAAAGUGUGGGUAUCAAACAGGAUUAGAUACCCUAGUAGUC